UGUAGAUAAGAUCUGAAAAUUUGGUGCGCGUGUGCGUAAAGUUGGUUUGGAGCGCCCGCAGCACGGCGCGCUCUGCUCCUCUGUUUACCUGCUGUAGUACCGCAGGUAACCGGAUCGGCUUGUGAGUGCGCGAAUGUUGGUUUGAGGGAAAGGACAACGCAUUUGGACUUUACAGGGUAAGUUAAGAAAGAAAACGUAAACAGAAAACUGUUCUCCGCUUUUCAUUUUGAAAGAGCAACAAUGAGUCAUGAUCAUUGGUCGUUGACCAGAACUGUUACUUCAUCAUUCUCUCAGCCAAUCUGGCCGACCAGUCCUGAGACUAACCAGGCUCUCUCUCUCCAGAGGAGGUCUGAACCUGGUCUCCGCGGGCUCCAGGCCUGAGAAGGGCUGAUAGUCCUCAUGUAGCUCAGAGGAGAGCCGGUCCGAGCCUCUACUCCAGACUGACGCAUUGUCAGAAAGGAGCUGUCCUCUAGGCUGACCUUCAGUGACCUUCAGUCAGCCUAGAGGAGAGGUUCCGGCCGGAUCUGCUCC